rnacentral:rRNA from 1 species
GACGGAGGGUGCAAGCGUUGCUCGGAAUUACUGGGCGUAAAGCGCACGUAGGCGGCUUUGUAAGUUAGAGGUGAAAGCCCGGGGCUCAACUCCGGAAUUGCCUUUAAGACUGCAUCGCUUGAAUCAUGGAGAGGUGAGUGGAAUUCCGAGUGUAGAGGUGAAAUUCGUAGAUAUUCGGAAGAACACCAGUGGCGAAGGCGACUCACUGGACAUGUAUUGACGCUGAGGUACGAAAGCGUGGGGAGCAAACAGG